rnacentral:misc_RNA from 1 species
UGGUUCUGGCAUCGAUGAAGAACGCAGCGAAAUGCGAUAAGUAAUGUGAAUUGCAGAAUUCAGUGAAUCAUCGAAUCUUUGAACGCACAUUGCGCCCAUUAGUAUUCUAGUGGGCAUGCCUGUUCGAGCGUCAUUUCAACCCUUAAGCCUAGCUUAGUGUUGGGAGUCUACGAGUGGGCCAGGCUACCCUGUAGCGUGGUUACCCUGUAGCUCCUGAAAAUCAACGGCGGAUCCACAGCAUCCUCUGAGCGUAGUAAUUUUUUUAUCUCGCUUCUGUCUAGGUGUUGUGACUCCGGCCGCUAAACCCCCAAUUUUUUUGUGGUUGACCUCGGAUCAGGUAGGAAUACCCGCUGA